rnacentral:misc_RNA from 1 species
GCUUUGUCCCUGGCAGAGAAGAAUGUUUUAGUACUAAAGAAUGAGAAAGAAGAAGCUUUACUUGGUAAAGAUGCUGCUGAGUCUGAACUACAGAAAAUCAAGGAGGAAUUCUCUUUCCAUACCAACAAACUAAAAAUGGCAGAUGAAACUAUACAAUCCCUUGAGGACGCACUAGUUCAAGCAGAAAAAAACAUAUCUCUGUUUACUGAGGAAAAUAAUAGGGUACAAGUUGGUAGAACUGAUCUAGAGAACGAGAUUAACAAGCUCAAAGGGGAAGCUGAUAUCCAAAACAGUAAGCUAAGUGAUGCUUCCAUGACUAUAAAGUCUCUAGAAGAUGCUUUGCUGGAUUCAGGAAACAAAAUUUCCGAUCUUGUUAAUGAAAAGAAGAAUGCAGAAGAGGAAAUUGUAGUUCUGACUUCCAAGGUAGAUGCCUGCAUGCAAGAGUUGGCUGGAUCACAGGGCAGAGUAGAAACUAAAGUUCUGGAGCUCUCUACCCAUCUUAGCCGUCUUCAGUUACUUCUGAGAGAUGAAGUUCUGUUUUCCUCUCUCCGAAAAACUUUUGAGGGAAAGUUUCACAGCCUAAAAGACAUGGAUCUUCUUCUUAAAGAAAUCUGGGAUUAUUUUUCUGAAGUAGAUACUGAAGUGCUACCAGAUUCUCCUACUAAGGAUGACUCAUCUUUCUCAAUUCCUUCGGUAUCUGUUGUUAAUGAUGCUCUAAAUGAGGAAGUAGCCAACGGUGAACCAAAUGCAACUGAUGGUGACAAUAUCACAUUUCAUCUUGG